GAAUGUCACAUCUUUACUAUAUAAUAGGAGUUCUGUACAAAAUAAAUAAAUAAUUACAUUAUAAGGAGACAACGGUCCAGCAACCCAAAGUUGACUGGGAGACGACGGCCUAGACCUCUCACGAACACAGCACAGCAUCCUCCAUGCGCCUCCUCCUGUGGUACUUGUUCUUGACCUGUGGGGGUGUGAGACAGCAAGAGUGAUCUCACAUACAUUCAUAGCUCAACAAGUUGUGGGGAAUAAUGUGCAUGAACUCGCCAAAAGUGAGAGCUCACGUGAAGUGUAAGACUUACCAAAGAGGAUGGUUGAAGCUGAGCAUUGCUUUUAAAGUGGGUCAAAAUUUCAUUAGCAGUUACUAAGUAUAAGUAAAUACCAACCCAAUUCAGUAGUAGAACAAAAGUAAUAACAACACCUACGAUGCAAUGCAUAUGAUAAAUUUAAUUUAGUUCCAUAAAUUAAACAUGUGUGUGUGUCCGAGCUGCUCAUGACCGUGAGCACGGCUAGUAUACCAGUUUUACACUCUGCAGAGGUUGCACAUCUUUACCCACAAGUCAUGUCACUCAUCUGCCAAGAGACGGCCAAUCCCAUACACCUCUACCGAGGAGACGAGGCAGGGUAACACUAUGAGGCCUUUACAAAGUUCCACUAUCUUCAGAAAACCCGCUACAGUUUCUAGGAAGCUCCAAUGAAGGGACCCCUCGCCUGACCGCCAUCGCAGCAAAAUCAACCCAAGGGCCUCCCUACACUGACCACUCCCCUACUGCCCUUGCCCCUUUCGGGUAAGGUAGUCCUCCACUAGCUUUCCUAAUUAGUCAGCCAAGGGCGUCCCAUACCACCAUUGUGGUAGCACUGUUUUCCCGGGUGGUUCUCCAUGUUCCAACUAACAUAAUGAUCUUAACAUGAACAGUAAAUAACAACUGAUAAUAAAAAUAUAAUCAUGAAUAGUGUAUAUAUCUAUGCCCAAAACCACAUAAAGCAAUAGCAGGUACUACCCAAAAAUUUAGUGGUAAACAAGGUAUAAAGAUAGUCAAACUAGGGUAACCUAUUGGGUCCCAUCAAAAUUAACCUAUGUAGAUCAUUAUGAUUAAUCAGAACAUGACUGGGUAAAAAGAAGUGAUCAAGGGCACAACUUGCCUGGGACUUGAGAUUCCAGGUACCAACUUGCUCUUCAGAUGACACGUGUCCUCACUGCUAAACGUAGCAAUACAGACAAACAUGGUAUACGCAAAAUUGACAUCUCACCAAACAUAAGAAUACAUUGCAUAAUAAUAAUCUACGGGAUGCUACGAGAUCAUGGGUUCGAGAACCACUAAAUUCGGAGUUACGGUUACCAAGUUUUGAAUUUCUGAAGUUAUUAAGCUCCUAGAAUAAAUUAAUUCAAUUGAACAAAUUUAAUUCAAGUUUCAUGGCUAAACAGAGAUACUAGGUGAUAAAUAAUGCUAAAACAAAAUUAAUGUCUCUUGAAUGAAUCAAUUUGGAGCCCAAUUGAAUUAAAUAUGAAUUUCACAAGUUUCUAUAAUUAUUUGUGUAUUGAAAAUCAAUUUCUAAAUUUAUUUAUCUGAUUUUUCUAUCUCCUGGGCUGAGCACCUAACUCCAGGAAGGUCAGGGGCUAACCUACAAAAAUUCCCCAGACACAGGCUUCAUCCUCCCUGGACGGCGGGUUGAUUAUGUAAAAUUCUAGGGUCUCUUAUGCAUAAGUCGCUCGGCGAAGGGGUAUGAAGCGAUACAGACCGCCCGAUCCAACCACAACGGCCCAGAUUAGAUUAUCAUAAUAUCCGAAUCGGUAUCCCCCGCUGGCGAUCGGAUCCCGAUCCAACGGUCUUGGUUUACUUCACCUAAAUUGUUAUACCCUGGAUAAUCUGCGCCCUCCAUCGGCCGAUCGACGACCCUGAUUCGGUAGGAUGAAAGGGGAAGCCCAACCUGAUCUCAGCCGUGCGCGAGGAAAUCAAUAACGCACGCGAUGUCAUCUUCCCAGAUCUAAUCUUAUUCGUUCCCUCCCCAUCCAACGGCUACCAGCCCAUCCUCUAUCUCCCAACAUCAGCCGAACCCCGACAGCAGAGCAGGAGCGUCACAGCGGUGCCAUCGACGAGCAACCCAGCCAGGAGAAUCCUCCCGCCCAGACCCAAAUUGAAAGGUGCCACACGCAGCAAAGAUUAUGGUGAAACGAGGGAGCUAGUUCUUACCUGUAACCAAGCAAUACAGAGCCCAGAUGACCCGACGGCGAUCUCACCCUUCAAAUCGUUCCCCGCACGAUUACCCCACGGUUCCGUUGAGCAAGAGCGAGGUAGACAAGGGUUGAAGGGUCCCCGGGGUCCCAUUUAUACACUGCUAGUAAGUCCGAUUGAGCCGAAUUUGUCGGACCACGCGCAUGGUGUUUGCGGCAAUACUAUUGCGGGGAUGACACUGGCCACACGGUCC
rnacentral:lncRNA from 1 species